rnacentral:rRNA from 1 species
GACGAACGCUGGCGGCGUGCCUAAUACAUGCAAGUAGAACGCACAGUUUAUACCGUAGCUUGCUACACCAUAGACUGUGAGUUGCGAACGGGUGAGUAACGCGUAGGUAACCUGCCUGGUAGCGGGGGAUAACUAUUGGAAACGAUAGCUAAUACCGCAUAAUAUUAAUUAUUGCAUGAUAAUUAAUUGAAAGGUGCAAUUGCACCACUACCAGAUGGACCUGCGUUGUAUUAGCUAGUAGGUGAGGUAACGGCUCACCUAGGCGACGAUACAUAGCCGACCUGAGAGGGUGAUCGGCCACACUGGGACUGAGACACGGCCCAGACUCCUACGGGAGGCAGCAGUAGGGAAUCUUCGGCAAUGGACGAAAGUCUGACCGAGCAACGCCGCGUGAGUGAAGAAGGUUGUCGGAUCGUAAAGCUCUGUUGUAAGAGAAGAAAGGGUGUGAGAGUGGAAAGUUCACACUGUGACGGUAUCUUACCAGAAAGGGACGGCUAACUACGUG